AUUGAACGCUGGCGGCAGGCCUAACACAUGCAAGUCGAACGAGUGGCGGACGGGGGCGUAAGGUCUGGGAACCUGUCCGUUGGAGGGGGAUCACUACUGGAAACGGUAUCGAAUCCCGCAUACCAUAGGAUUUGCCCAGAUGGGGUUGGCUAGUAGGGGGGGUAACGGCUCACCUAGGGGACGAUCCCCAGCUGGUCUGAGAGGAUGACCAGCCACCAGGGAACUGAGACACGGUCCAGACUCCUACGGGAGGCAGCAGUGGGGAAUAUUGCACAAUGGGCGCAAGCCUGAUGCAGCCAUGCCGCGUGUAUGAAGAAGGUCUUCGGGUUGUAAAGUACUUUCAGCGGGGAGGCGUUACCCGCCGAAGAAGCACCGGCUAACUCCGUGCCAGCAGCCGCGGUAAUUC
rnacentral:rRNA from 1 species